GCGGCGGACGGGUGAGUAACACGUGGGCAACCUGCCCGCAAGACCGGGAUAACUCCGGGAAACCGGAGCUAAUACCGGAUAACACCGAAGACCGCAUGGUCUUCGGUUGAAAGGCGGCCUUUGGGCUGUCACUUGCGGAUGGGCCCGCGGCGCAUUAGCUAGUUGGUGAGGUAACGGCUCACCAAGGCGACGAUGCGUAGCCGGCCUGAGAGGGUGACCGGCCACACUGGGACUGAGACACGGCCCAGACUCCUACGGGAGGCAGCAGUAGGGAAUCUUCCGCAAUGGGCGAAAGCCUGACGGAGCGACGCCGCGUGAGCGAAGAAGGCCUUCGGGUCGUAAAGCUCUGUUGUGAGGGACGAAGGAGCGCCGUUCGAAGAGGGCGGCGCGGUGACGGUACCUCACGAGAAAGCCCCGGCUAACUACGUGCCAGCAGCCGCGGUAAUAC
rnacentral:rRNA from 24 species